UUCUCCAGUCCCAUUAUCAAAUUUCUUAGUUCUGGUCCCAUAUAGUGUUUAUUAAAUUAGUCACUUUACACUGUUUAUAUUAUAAAUCUAGUCUCAGGUCAUGUUCUUCUUAUAAAUUACUGAUUCUGGUUCCAUUUGGUCCCAUUUUGUUAAAAUGGGACCAAAUGGGACCAUGAUUUACCCUAUAUAGAUGAUAUAAUGCUAUGAGUGUUACCAAAAAUCAUUACCUAUCAAAAGAAGUUUAGUGUAUUUAUGCUCUAGUUCUAUUUUGAACUAGUAAUGAUAGUGAUAGAUAGAUUCGCCGCGGUAGAUAGGUUGGCAGCGAUAGAUUAGCAGCGAUAGAUUAGGCAGCGAUAGAUUAGCAGCGAUAGAUAGAUUGGCAGUGAUAGAUAGGUUGGCAGCGAUAGAUUAGCAGUGAUAGAUAGCUUAGUAGUGAGGGAUAGCUUAGCAGCGAGGGAUAGCUUAGCAGCGAGGGAUAGCUUAGCAGUGAGAGAUAGCUUAGCAGUGAGGGAUAGCUUAGCAGCGAAGGAUAGCUUAGCAGCGAGGGAUAGAUUGGCAGCGGCGAUAGAUUAGCAGCGAUAGAUAGAUUGGCAGCAGCGAUAGAUUAGCAGCGAUAGAUUAGCAGCGAUAGAUUAGCAGCGAUAGAUUGGCAGCGAUAGAUAGAUUGGCAGUGGUAGAUAAAUUGGCAGCGAUAGAUAGAUUCGCCGCGG
rnacentral:sRNA from 1 species